rnacentral:lncRNA from 1 species
GCAAAAAAAGUUUUAUAUGGAUGGGUCCAAGACCACAAAUACUAAUCAUGGAUCCUGAGCUUAUAAAGGAAGUACUCUCGAAAAACUAUGUGUAUCAAAAGCCUCAUGGAAAUCCAUUAGGCACCUUAUUUGUACAAGGAUUAGUAAGCUAUGAGAAAGACAAAUGGGCUAAACAUAGAAAAAUCAUCAAUCCCGCGUUCCAUCUAGAGAAGUUAAAGGUUUGUCAUUCAACUUCGUGAUUGGUCAACCAGAAACUAUUAUGUUGGGUAAUUCUUACUCUAUGUGUGCUCUUGCUUCUAUCCCCUUUGAUUUGCCUUCCUUAUCGUUCAAUCUAAACUUUUAUGUCAUAUGACUAUUUUGAGUAAUAUGAUAUCUGCUGCCUGACUUGAUGUAGACAAUAGUGGUUCUAUAGGGACGAAUCUCGCUUGGAUCAUGAUUCAAUGUUCUAGAUUGUUCUUCCACCAAUCCAUAUAUAAUAUGUUCGCUCUUGCUUCUUUAUUGUUUUAAAUUUGGUCUUGUAUGUUCCACAUAUGACUAUAUUGAGUGAUUUCUGCUACCUAGCUUAAGUUAGACAAUCAGAGAAUGAUUUUAUGAUUCAAAGAAGUCGAAUCUUGUUUGGAUCAUCAUUUGUCAGGACUCUCUUUGCGUAAGUUCCUUGGCUUGGACAGAGUACUUAUUUAGUCCAUGUUGUUCCUAAUUAUGUUCAAGUGUUAGUGUUAUUGACAUUUUCCCUGGUUCACCAUUUUCUCAAACAGCAUAUGCUUCCAGCUUUUUACUUGAGCUGUAGUGAGAUGCUGAGCAAAUGGGAAGACGUUGUUCAAGUUGAAGGCUCUCAUGAGAUAGAUGUAUGGCCUCACCUGCAGCAAUUGACUUGUGAUGUGAUCUCUCGGACAGCUUUUGGCAGUAGUUAUGAAGAAGGUAGAAAGAUUUUUGAACUUCAACAGGAACAGGCUCAGCAUUUUCUCGAAGUUAUACGCUCAGUUUAUAUCCCAGGAUGGAGGUAACUUAAUUCUCCUAAGAGUUUGGAAAAUGUAGCUAUUGGAAAUGCAAAUUGAUUAGUUCUAUUUUUUUGUGAAUGCAUUUUGGUUUUGUGUUUCAUAAAACAAUUUCAAAGAUUUUUGCCAACAAAGAGGAACAGAAGAAUGAAGGAAAUAAAAAAGGAUGUUCGGUCCUCAAUUAGAGGUAUUAUCGAUAAAAGAUUGAAGGCAAUGGAAGCUGGGAACGCGGAUAAUGAGGAUCUAUUGGGCAUAUUGCUGGAAUCGAAUUUUAAAGAAAUUGAACUGCACGGAAAUAAGGACUUUGGAAUGAGCAUUGAAGAAGUCAUUGAAGAAUGCAAGCUAUUCUAUUUUGCUGGCGCAGAAACUACAUCAGUGUGGAUUCUGUGGACUCUGGUGUUGUUGAGCAGAUAUCCAGAUUGGCAGGCACGGGCCAGAGAAGAAGUCUUGCAAGUGUUUGGGAGUCGGAAACCAGAUUUUGAUGGCUUAAAUCAUCUAAAAGUUGUAAGUAUUCUUGUUGUUUGGUUCAAUUUCUAUGCCAUGGGUACUCUCGUUGUUAUUUCUACAAGCACGUGUGAAUUUCUUUUGAUUAUCUCGUUCAUGGUUGCUUAACUGAUAGAGGAGCAUUUCUGUUACAGGUGUGAAUUUCUUUUGAUUAUCUCGUUCAUGCUUGCUUAACUGAUAGAGGAGCAUUUCUGUUACAGGUAACGAUGAUCUUGUACGAGUCGUUAAGGCUAUAUUCCCCAAUAACAGUACUUGCCCGACGAAUUUAUGAAGACAUUACGCUAGGAGAAGUAUCUCUACCAACUGGUGUGCUAGUCUCAUUGCCAAUUAUCUUAUUGCAUCAUGAUAAAGAUAUAUGGGGUGAAGAUGCAAACAAGUUCAAUCCAGAGAGAUUUAGAGAAGGAAUAUCAAGUGCAACAAAGGGUCAAGUUACAUAUUUUCCAUUUGCUUGGGGUCCAAGAAUAUGCAUUGGACAAAAUUUUGCCAUGUUAGAGGCAAAGAUGACUGUGUGUAUGAUCCUACAAAGCUUCUUUUUUGAAUUGUCUCCAUCCUACACACAUGCUCCUCAGUCCUUGGUAACCACUCAGCCUCAGUAUGGUGCUCCACUUAUUUUCCACAAACUAUAAUUUCAUAUUCUGUGAAGAGUUCAUUCAGACUCGAUUCAUGGGUGGAGUUACAAUAUUAAAUAUGGGUUCAGAAACAGUUUCUCUAUUUCAUAAAGAUAGGGGAUUAUGUGGUGUACUCUCCACUCUCCCCUGACCCUCACAUUGGGUAUGUUGUUUUUGUUGUUCAGACAAACUCAGUAGUUUUGGUUUAAAUCUUGCAUUUGUUUCGGGAAAUCCAUUAAAAAUACUAUACAUGGGAAUCCGUGCUAGCACGAGCCUAAUAUAUGUUGCUCUCUUAAUAUCAAAUUAUGUGAUAUAGUUGAAAUUUGGAGAAGUACCCCUAUUUUUUAUAUGGUUGUUAAAUAUUUUAAGCUGUCUACAUUAUUAUGUUUCAAUAAUUUUUAAAAUAUUCACCGAACUAUUUUUUCAAUUACUAAUUCUUUGUGAAAAUAAUAAGAAAAUACUCUCUUCCAAGACACUAAUCAUUUUUGACUUUGUCGAUUUCUUUUGCCUUUUCAUAAAAUAAAAUAGAUACAUAUUUUCCAUACGUAGUAGAUUCAAAUCGAAAAAUCAAAUCUAAAUAAUUUUGAUUCUCACAUUAAUAAACUGAAAAUCAAAUUGAAUAAAUAGAACUCGAUGUCAGCCGCUAAAAUUAAUAAGAUGAGGAAAAAAAGUGAAUGAUUUUGAUUUACAUGCGAUGAUUUUUUCAGUGGCAGGCUAAGUGUACGACUAUUGUACAUUGCUGGGAUGUGUGGAGGGUGGGGAUUCAAUCUAUGUUUUUUAGGAUUAUAAUUACAAAAAAGUCCUCAGAUAUUUGCCUUUGCUCAUCAAUGUCUUAAUUUCCCACAAACAUGGUAGAUAUAAAUAUAUAGUAGUAAUUUAUAUGCACACAUAAAUUUAAUUCAAACAAAAUGGACAAAAUUCAAAUAUUAGUAACAAUAUGUUGUUGUGUCAUAGCAGUUGCUCUGUUUGUGUGUCUAUGGAAAGUACUAAAUUGGGUUUGGUUCAGACCAAAGAAGUUGGAGAAAUUGUUGAGGAAACAAGGGCUAAAAGGGAAUUCAUACAGAAUAUUGUAUGGUGAUAUGAAAGAUUUUUCUGGGAUGAUUAAAGAAGCAAAUUCAAAGCCUAUGAAUAUUUCUAAUGAUGAUUUAUCCCCAAGAUUGGUGCCUUUCUUUCUUGAAAUCAUCAAGAAAUAUGGUAAGUUUUCGAACUCUGAUAACGGGUAAAGUUGUUGGCAUGUGAUUAGGAAGUUGUAGAUUCUAGCUGUGGAAACAGUCUCUUGCAGAAAUGUAGGAGCUUAGUGCAAACCCAUAGCUAAUAUUGUAGCUCCGCAAUCAUCAAGUAACUUAGAUAAGGAGUUUAAUUAUACAAUCAGGUUACUUAUUCUACAAUUACAAGCAAAUUUCCUGGUAAAUAUUAGUAACUGAUAGAAAACUAAAAAUAAAGUAGGGGUGGCAAAAUCAAACGCAACCCAUCCAAUUCGUUUAAGUUGACCCGCUCAUUCAUGAAGUUAAUGAGUUUUGAACUUGACAUCCAUAGCCCUUUUUUAGUUAUUGAGCAACUCUUGAAGUUGAUGUCAUGUAAUAAGAAAAUCACGGGGUUCAAGUCGUAGAACCAACCUUAUGUAGACGUGCACUUUCCGUAGAAAUGUGGGUAACCUUGCUUACAAUAGACUCUUGUAGUUCGUUCCUUUACACACCUGUGCAUAGCAGGAGCUUUAGUGGAUCGGACUACCUUAUACUAACUACUAAUCAGUGAUAUAAUGAUACAAGUAGUUAGAUUAGAUUCAUUAAUUUGUUAUCCAUUCACAAAUCUCUCAUUCAUUUUCACACACAGAGUUAGGAUUUGAAGUUCAAGCUUUUUGAACUUGAAGUUGUACCCAUAGUUCUCUUUAGUUACAAGGUUUGCAAUUAAAUAUCUAUACAUAUUUAUUGAACUUCCUAAUACAAAUAAGCAGUUUAGCUAGAAGCUCCUUGGUGUAUGCAGUUUGUUUCAACUUUUUUUCGAAUUCGAUGAAAUUGUAAUGAGCCUGUUCUCCUGGUUUGUUUAUCUUCUAAAGAACACUCUGUUCAUUUCGUUCUCUUCGAUUGUAUAGAUGUUUUAUUUCGAAAUUUGUACUAGUUGUAGUUAAUCAUGAGACAUAUACAUGUUUGCAGGGAAAAAAUGUUUUACAUGGAUGGGUCCAAGACCACAAAUACUAAUCAUGGAUCCUGAGCUUAUAAAGGAAGUACUCUCGAAAACCUAUGUUUAUCAAAAGCCUCAUGCAAAUCCAUUAGGCACAUUAUUUGUGCAAGGAUUAGUAACCUAUGAGAAAGACAAAUGGGCAAAACAUAGAAAAAUCAUCAAUCCCGCGUUCCAUCUAGAGAAGUUAAAGGUUUGUCAUUCGACUUCGUGAUUGGUCAACCAGAAACUAUUAUGUUGGGCAAUUCAUACUCUAUGUGUGCUAUUGCUUCUAUCUCCUUUGAUUUGCCUUCCUUAUGUCAUUUGACUAUUUCGAGUAAUAUGAUAUUUGCUGCCUGACUUGAUGUAGACAAUAGUGGUUCUAUAGGGACGGAUCUCGCCUGGAUCAUGAUUCAAUGUUCUAGAUUGUUCUUCCACCAAUCGAUAAUAUGUUCACUCUUGCUUCUUGUAUGUUCCACAUAUGACUAUAUUGAGUGAUUUCUACUACCUAGCUUGAGUUAGACAAUCAGAGAAUGAUUUUAUGGUUCAAAGAAGUCGAAUCUUGUUUGGAUCAUCAUUUGUCAGGACUCUCUUUGCGUAAGUUCCUUGGCUUGGACAGGGCAUUUAGUCCAUGUUGUUCUUUAUGCAUUCAGAGAGGACUAUGUUCGGUGGAAUAAUUUCUUAGAUAUGUUUACUAGAUGGU